GUCAUUUUGUUUAUUUUCUUGGACUCGGAAUUGGACUUCUCUUAAACUGAGUUUUACUGUGCGUAUUGUUGUGCGUUUGUUUUUUUUCUACAUUGUCUUGCGGUAUAGGGGUUAGGGUUGAGAUCUCAAAGAACAUGUUUAAUCGCGCCGCAUGUUUGCGCCUGUGCCAAGUCAGGAGCCUCUAGCCUUUGUUAGUUUUGCAUGAUUUUUCAUUUUAGUUUCUUGUGGAUAAUUCGGAUUUAAGUAUCACUGAACUAGCAUACAAAUUUGUUUAGGGCCAGCUGCGGGAGUUUUUCGCUGCAUUGACGACCCAUUGUUGGCUUUCGACUGUUGUCUGCUCUACGGUCGGG
rnacentral:lncRNA from 1 species